rnacentral:sRNA from 1 species
GCCGAGCCGUCUGAGGCUCUGUUCCACCUCGUGGAAGAUCGACUCCCGGCCGAGAUGGCGGUGGACCGGCCUGCCGUCCUGGUCGAAGAA